rnacentral:tRNA from 1 species
GAGGGUAUAGCUCAGUGGUAGACUGUGAGCUUAGCAUGCAUGAGGUCCUGGGUUCAAUCCUCAGUACCUCCA